UGGGGAAAUUUCCGCAAUGGGCGAAAGCCUGACGGAGCAACGCCGCGUGAGGGACGAAGGCCUCUGGGCUGUAAACCUCUNUUUCUCAAGGAAGANAGAUAUGACGGUACUUGAGGAAUAAGCCACGGCUAAUUCCGUGCCAGCAGCCGCGGUAAUACGGGAGUGGCAAGCGUUAUCCGGAAUUAUUGGGCGUAAAGCGUCCGCAGGCGGCUUUUCAAGUCUGCCGUUAAAACGUGGAGCUUAACUCCAUCAUGGCAGUGGAAACUGAAAGGCUUGAGUAUGGUAGGGGCAGAGNGGAAUUCCCGGUGUAGCGGUGAAAUGCGUAGAUAUCGGGAAGAACACCAGUGGCGAAGGCGNCUCUGCUGGGCCAU
rnacentral:rRNA from 1 species